UAGCGGCAGGCCUAACACAUGCAAGUCGAGGGGCAGCACGGGUAGCAAUACCUGGUGGCGACCGGCGCACGGGUGAGUAACGCGUAUGGAACCUGCCCCCCGCUGGGGGAUAGCCCGUCGAAAGGCGGAUUAAUACCCCAUCGUACCCGCCGACCACCUGGUCGGCGGGUUAAAGCUUCGGCGGCGGGGGAUGGCCAUGCGUGCCAUUAGCUGGUUGGUGGGGUAAUAGCCCACCAAGGCGAUGAUGGCUAGGGGGUUGAGAGGACUGUCCCCCACACUGGUACUGAGACACGGACCAGACUCCUACGGGAGGCAGCAGUGAGGAAUAUUGGUCAAUGGGCGAAAGCCUGAACCAGCCAUGCCGCGUGCAGGAAGACGGCCCUACGGGUUGUAAACUGCUUUUGUUCGGGAAGAAUGGCCCCCUCGUGAGGGGGUUUGACGGUACCGUACGAAUAAGGAUCGGCUAACUCCGU
rnacentral:rRNA from 1 species